GAUUUUUGCUAUCCAAUAAGACCUUAUCUCACUGUGUGACAAGGAUUGUUUAAACUUCAGCAGUAGACUGUCGAUGAAGACACCUAUUGCAUCUGAGGCUGCGACAUCCGUCAUCAGCAUGCGCUAGUGGUAAACAAAUACAGGUAUGCAGGUCGUAGAAGCAAACACGUUGUUGAUGUGCGUUGAUCAUGCUGAACUUCUUACACUGUCAUAAAACUAUCGUAGGACCACCAAUUAAGAGCCACGAUCACAGAAAUCUCCACAAUUGUUUCACGAUUGGUAAUCUUUCAUCUGGGACAGCCAAAAAUCGUGCCGUGUGUUAUGGGCUUUAGACAGGUGUAGUCUUAUAGUAUAUCAAAACCAUUGCUAAUAAUUAAUUGGACAAACCAUCACUACAAUGCAACACUCACUAUCUUACGGUGCGACCCACAAGUGGGUCUUCACCCACAGUUUAAAAACCCUGAGUAUGAGAAAGAGUAUGUUGUAUUGUAAUUAAAGUCACAUCUAAGUGUUAUGGAGCAGUUUGUCAUUAUAUUCACCGUAUUACAUGGUUCUUUCAGCAGUUACUACGUUACAGUGCUCUUAAAGUGUCCUGGUCAGCUUUGGGUCUUGUGAAGUAAUCUAAUGAAAAUGUGAUCAAUAGCUUUGCAGUAUUUUUGUUACACUGUGGCUGUAAUCAUAUUAACACAUAGGUUAAACAUUUUAUUCAAAAUUUGGUAAACAAACUAGUCAAUAUAAUUCAUGCUGUGAUGCUGGAUUAAACCUGGUCAAAUGAAUGUGUAUUGUGUUUUCAAUUUUUUUAUGAGGUUUCUUCAUAUAAACAUUCUCAAUAUCA